CCCGCACAUGAUUGUUUCUCCUAGUAAAACUGUUUGGUAUCAAGCAGUCCAAGGGUGUGGGUGUGGUUCGCAUUUUCCUAACAUCAUUCUGGAAAUCGUCUUUUCAGGAAACUUAGAAAUCCAGAUGCGCCAACCAGCUUGCUCAAACUUGCACCAGAAUCUUGUGGAGUACACGUCAUAUCCAAAGGAAGAGUUCAGGCUUCCCGAUUAGCAAGCAGGUCUCAGAAAUCCGACCACAGCAAAAGCACAAACCCACACAAUUCACAGCAUCUGAAAGCGCUUCUGUCCACACGUACAUAUGAUAACUCGGAGAUUGAAGACAUAAGCAGGAGCAGGUAACAUGAAAUACACCGCAUUUCUUCUUGGUGGGCUACUAAUUAACUGAUGCAAAGUCAAAACUAACAUCUCCCUAAGUUCCUAGGCCCACUAUAUGAGUAUCAACCUUAGAACUACUGAAAUAUAUCACCAUGAUGUCUUAGACCUUGAGAGUUGAGACAGAAAAUGUAAGCAAGGCCUGUGACAUUUAUUGCAUUAUUUUCAUCCAUGGUUUAGAUGCAACAGAAUCUCAACAAGUUCCAUUUCUGAAAAUGUCACUUAAGGCUUCCCUAUUUCCAGGGGGAAUGAAUUUCAUAUAUCAUUGCCGAAAGUAAAUUAGAAUUAUCAACCAAUGUUAAUAUCAUAGUACUAAGAAACUAGGAUGAAAAAUGUGAAAUGAUCUCACCUUCUUCUCUAUGAAGAAUCUUGCUAAUAGUCCACUUCUUAAUUUCCUGGAUUGGGAUCUAAGCCUGUUGUUUUAGAACUCCACAAGUAUUUACUCACACCACUAGCAUUGAUGCAGAUCCACAUCCUCCCAUUUCAAUGGCUCGUCCUCACUAACUCGUACUAGCUCACACAGAACUGUUUCAAGCAGUAAAGGCAGAAGUAGUGGAAUAACUUCUGAUAGAGUCAGUGAUUCCUUUCAAGUAAGACCAUGUGAGAAUUUGAAGACAAAUAAACAAGUUACAUCACCUAAAGCUUCAAAGAGAAGUAAAAGACCAGAAUCUCUUCAUAGAAUUUCCAUACCAGAAAGAACAGAUUUUUCAGGGCCACCAAGUUGCGGAUCAACUGAUAUAUCUAGUCACGGUUCAGAAAGUACAGCUUACAAUUCCAGUUCUUUGGCCUCCCUGACUCCUGUGAGUAUAUUGUGAUAAAUUCAUUUAGGAAUUAUGUUUGUACAAACAUCAAAACAUACAAUGACUUCCUGAAAUAACUUGUUGGCUCAAGUUAUUAUGCAACAAGAUCCAAUUUCCAUCUUGUUUGAUUUGUUUUCUAGUAGAUCUAACAAUAUUUUUAUUGGCUGCUGACCUUCUGGGAUAGGUUUACAGCAAAGGAGUUCUCCAGAAUCUAAAAGCUUGCACAUCUAUUAUAUGUAGCCUUCAAUUAGUUUAGCUUAUUGAGCUUUUUUCUCUCUAAAAUGGAUGAAAUUCAAGAUAGCGUUACAUUACAAAUAUGUAAACUAUGAUUGCCUGAUUACCAUGAAUACAGUGACUGGUGCCUCUGAGGCGCUUCAGUCCAAAAUGAAUCUGUCUUCCUAUGGCCUAAAUAUAUCUUCCAAUUCUUUAUUUUAUGAGUCCGUUACCAUAUUAUUGAGACAUAUUUCAUCCUUUCCAUGGGUUACAUAGCGAGGCUUGGAGGUUGAGAUGAAGCGACUUCGAAAAGAAUUAAAGAGAUCCAUGGAUAUGUUUAAAUCAGUUUGCGAAGAAGCUGUUGUAGCAAAAGAUAAGGUAAGAUUGGAUGUUUAUGAUCAUAUGUGAUCUUAUCAAUAAAAACUUAGCAACAUACUUCCAGUUUUCUUGACCGGGCCUUUUCUUUUCCCAGCUGAAGAAGCUUCAGGAAUGGAAAGAAGCAGAAGAGCGCAAAUUAGAGGAAGCCAAGCUUUCUGAGGAGGCAGCAGUGGCUUUGGCAGAGGCAGAAAGGGAAAAAACCAAGGCUGCUAUGGACGCAGCACAGACAGCCCAACGUUUAGCAGAUAUGGAGGCACGGAAGAGAAAACUCGCAGAAUUGAAAGCCAAUCAGGAGGAAGAAGAAAAACAGAGAGCACUAGAUAAGCUGGUUAACAAUAAAGCUGCUUAUAGAAAAUACACCCUUGAUGACAUUGAAGCUGCGACAGAUUACUUCGCGAGUGCACAUAAGAUUGGUGAAGGAGGAUAUGGGCCGGUUUUUAAAGCCACCCUUGACCAUACUGCUGUAGCCAUCAAGAUCUUAAGGCCAGAUAUAUCACAAGGACAGAAGCAAUUCCAACAAGAGGUAACUAUGCUUGUUAAUCCUGUUUCCCAAGAACAAUUAAACUUCAUUGAAUUUUACGGUGUCCCAAAACAUUGGGUAUCUCUUUUCUUGGUGAAGAAGUUUGAAUCAUCUCUUAUAGUAAAACUCAAAGCUGCAUUAUAGGUAAUCUGUCAAUUGCAAUAUAUUUAAAAUCACAGCUUCUAUAUAUCACAAUAAGAAAUAAAAAAGUGCCAGAAAUGAAUGAGGCGGGCAUCAUUUGACAUUAUAAUGAUAGCUGAAUAUAAUAUCUGAAAUGAGUGAAGAAUAGCAAAGAAUGUUGAGUUAAUUUCAUUUUAAAUUUAUAGAAAUGUUCCUUUUAUAGCUUCUUUUAAACUUGUUCAUAGUCUUAUAAUUUAAGAUGGCAAUGACUUAUAAAAGCCUUUAAAAGCCCUGCCACCUAGAAAACCAACAAAUAUGAUGUCCACAGCAAUUUCUCUAGCCAAAUAGAGGGGAGAUAAAGAGUAUGGUCUUACCUUCAUGUGUUUAUAGUGGCAGAACUUAUCUGUCCUUCUUCCUCCCUUUCAUUUGUAUUAAAUAAAUUUGUAAUGUAGGUUGAGGUUCUAAGCUGCAUGAGACAUCCACACCUGGUUCUGCUCAUAGGUGCCUGCCCUGAGUAUGGAUG
rnacentral:lncRNA from 1 species